AACGAACGCUGGCGGCAUGCCUAACACAUGCAAGUCGAACGAGACCUUCGGGUCUAGUGGCGCACGGGUGCGUAGCGCGUGGGAAUCUGCCCUUGGGUUCGGAAUAACUCGCCGAAAGGCGUGCUAAUACCGGAUGAUGUCGUAAGACCAAAGAUUUAUCGCCCAGGGAUGAGCCCGCGUAAGAUUAGGUAGUUGGUGAGGUAAAGGCUCACCAAGCCGACGAUCUUUAGCUGGUCUGAGAGGAUGACCAGCCACACUGGAACUGAGACACGGUCCAG
rnacentral:rRNA from 1 species